rnacentral:tRNA from 1 species
GGGGAUAUGGCCAAGUGGUCUAAGGCACACGGUUGUGGCCCGUGCAUCACGGGUUCGAAUCCCGUUAUCCCCACCA